UUGAUAUACACAGAGAUCGGACGACAAAGACAUGUUUCCUAUGCAUCUGUUUGACCACGGAAACAGUUCAAUUCGCGCAGGAAGCCGGGAAAUUCCCCACCUUCCAACCUAGCCGCACGGCCACGACGAGGUGGAAGAUUCCUAAUUCCUUCUGGAAGAGAGGUGCUUCCACCAAAUCGGAACAGGCCACGAGGCAAUGCGUUACUGAUAUGAUAGAGGCUCCUCGCCUCGCGCAACCCGCACACCUGUCCAUACUCCACCACAGCUGCCAGGGGCUGCUCGCCAGGGCCGCGUUGGCCGCGCACUACGAUGGCGAAGGAGCGUGUUCGACGAAAUGCCGCAGCGGAGAUGCGUCGGCGCACGGUGGGUUUGGCUAGUUGGACGAAGCCCCCUGCGGCGUUCCACCGUGAUGCCCGAGAGAGGGCGUGCGCUGGUCCGCCGGGUAGGGAUGCUCGGGGCGCGACGACGCCUGUGCCUGGUCGUCCCUUGUGCCGCGCCAGUGCUUGGCAGGGCAGGGAAACCAAUCGGCCAUCCUGGUAUGGAUGGAUCUUGUGAGUUGAGACGGAUGGCUUGCACGCACUGUGCUCAUCACAUCCAUGCAAAGCCAAUGCGUUUUUGUACUUCACUCACUGGCGGUGCUCCAGGCAUAUUCUAUGCCGUCACUCAAUCAAGCUGGCACCUGGUCCCUCUGUCCUGUGCAACAAGAGGCUGCCUUCUGAAGGUAUGCAUGCAGGCAGAGUGGCAAGACUCAUACAGGGAGCUAACGCCACGUUAUGUGUAUCUCUGUUCGUGGAAUCAGUAUGAGAGCAUAAUCUGACCAGGACUGCACUCGCAUGUUGGAACAGAUAUGGAUAUAAUGAUUUGUGCCUUUGAUUACGUGUUGCUCCGAGGCAACUUUGCAGAUAGCUUUGCUGGUGUUGGUGGAAUACUGGAAUCUGAGAGCAUGACUGGUGGACGGGGGAAGAGGUUUCUGAUUCUCGGUUAGGUCAUAGGCAUCAUUCCAGGUUGAAUUAGUAAUCAUUUCACGUCAGGUGACGAAAAGGACUCCAAAGGUGCUGUGCCACAGCAUGAUUUGGACCUUACCUGCAAUGCGGCAUUGUUCUGGUCUGAUUAACAAUCAUGAGUUGAAGAACACUGAGGCCACAGGUGGUCCUAGAUUAUAAAGUGCUGAGAAGUCCCUUGUGUUGAAAUUUGGUCUCCAUCCUGGUGCAUAAACAGUCUGCCGGACAGAUUGGCGGAAGAGCACAAAGACAAAGCGAUGUAUUCCAGCCGUUGGCUUUGGACUUUCAUAGCUUACUACCUCAUUUCCUGAAAUAUAGUUUGAAUAGAACUUUCAGAGUCUUACCAAUGGAGGUAUUCUCUUUUGGUUGGAUUGCUUGGACUUGGUGAGUCGGGAUCCACCAUCACCUAGUGGUAAGUUGGUUAUUUUUCUUUUGUAGCAUAAGCAAUAAUUCUUUGCGUAUACAAGAGUUAAUUAAACAAAGCAGUAAGUAGUGUUGAGCAGAUACAUUUAUUUUAAAAUUUGCACUACAUUUGGUUGUCUUCUAUUGAGACAAUUUACAUUUUCCCCUUAAAUUAAUAUUUAUGUAUAACUAGAUUCUGAGCCAUCUGAGAUGUUGAAUACUUUGACACUUCUUUCGGGCAAAUUGAAGUGUUACAAACUUUAUCCAUUCAAAUGUUAGUGACUUAUUGUUAUUUUCAAAGCAUUUUAAUGAGGCCAUCAGUAGAUUAUUUACAUCUGUAAUAUGUAUUGUUAGUAAUCAUCAUGGUUCCAGAUGCUGGUAUAUUUGUUGACACUAGCGAAAAACAAGGAGAACAUCCUUAUGGGAUAUAUUUGAGACAAAAUAUGGGAGUGCAAACGGUCUUUUUCAAUCAAUAUGAACAGCUUUCAAAACUUCACAAGGUGCACAUUCUUGGCUUUCAGUGAUCUAUAGAUACUGAAAGUAACUUUUAAGUGGAUGUACUCUGAACCGUUAUAUUGCAGUCAUGAAGUUAUAUAAUGUUUUUUUUUUCAGAAAAAAAACAGUGUUCCAACUUGGCAUCUUAAUUUAAAAUCAUACUCAAUGCUGCAAUGAGGUAGAUAGGUGGUUAUGAACUCACCAAAGUGUACAGGGUCCUCAUGUCGUGCCCAGCAAGCUCGAUCCUUGGUUCAUUGGCUACUUGCGAAGGCUUGAGCUCAGAUCCAUUAGUCAGUUCCCUAUUGUUGUAUAUGACUCUGAAUGAUGCUGAUUUGAUAAAUGGGUCCAAGAUAUCUCCAACUACACUGCCUACGACAAGUGGGUCCCUUGACAUGGUUAGCUACGAUUGGUAACCUUCAAGACAAGCUAACUUGGACUGAAGUAUGAGCUUGGGUGAAGUGAAGAGUGCAGCCAGGCCUGUGCUCUAUAUAUACUCCCGGUCCCCAAUGAUGUACCAUUGAUGCCGACUGAAAUUAUUAGCUCUGGACGCCAUGGUAUCUUUCUUUAUACUGUAAAGAAUGAUAUGGGUUGCUAUCACUUGAAAUAUUUCGGGCUGUCCACCCUCUGCGCCUACACCAAUAUUUUGGUGAAUAGGCCACCAGACGUCACAUUUAGACUUAAUGAUCGGUAUGCUUAUUUCUGUCUGUGUUGUACUAUGUUGAAAAAUGAUUAUGUAUCGAUGGUAUUUCAAUAAGGAUCAUCUCUCUAAGUAAUAUGAAUAACUAAGAGGUUUUCUCAUUGCAUAGAAGCUUGGUGGGAUGAGCAUACUAUACUGCAAUUAUAAAAGGUGUAGGGGAUUUUCUUCAGAAAUGCAUCAAUUGUUCGGUGUCUGCUCCUGAGCUAAUAAUUUCCAUGUUAGAUGCUCGAUAUGCUAAUUUGUGGUACAAGUGUAUGUUCUAUCUCAUUGCAUGCUCUGAUCUAGAAUUCAGAAUCAUGUUUAGUUCAUCCUGUAAACAUUAUAAACAGGAGCUGCUUCUUUUUGUUUAACUAUGAUGAUAUGGGCCAUUGAUACUCGUUCUAUCAAUUGUGAUGCAAAUUUGCCA